rnacentral:SRP_RNA from 1 species
GCUGGGUACUGUGGUGCGUGCCUGUAGUCCCACCUAUUUGGGAGGCUGAGGCUGGAGGAUCUCUUGAGUCCAGGAGUUCUGGGCUGUAGUGCGCUAUGCUGAUCAGGUGUUCGCACUAAGUUCGACAUCAAUAUGGUGACCUCCUGGGAGUCGGGGACCACCAGGUUUCCUAAGGAGGGGUAAACCGGCCCAGGUCGGAAACAAAGCAGGUCAAAACUCCUGUACUGAUCAGUAGUGGGAUCGCGCCUGUGAAUAGCCACUGCACUCCAGCCUGGACAACAUAGCGAGACCCCGUCUCU